rnacentral:snRNA from 1 species
UUGCUUGCUUCGGCAGCACAUAUACAGUACUAAAACUGGAAUGAUACAGAGAAGAUUAUCAUGGCCCCUGUGCGAAAAAGAAAAAAAAAAAAUGUAUUAUUUCUUG